UGGGGAAUUUUCCACAAUGGGCGAAAGCCUGAUGGAGCAACGCCGCGUGUGUGAUGAAGGUCUUCGGAUCGUAAAGCACUUUCGACCGGGAAGAAAAACCUUUGGCUAACAUCCAGGGGCCUGACGGUACCGGGAGAAGAAGCACCGGCUAACUCUGUGCCAGCAGCCGCGGUAAUACAGAGGGUGCAAGCGUUGUUCGGAAUUAUUGGGCGUAAAGCGCGUGUAGGCGGCUUAGCAAGUCGGAUGUGAAAGCCCAUGGCUCAACCAUGGAAGUGCGUCCGAAACUGCCGAGCUUGAGUACCGGAGAGGAUGGCGGAAUUCCGCAAGUAGAGGUGAAAUUCGUAGAUAUGCGGAGGAACACCGGUGGCGAAGGCGGCCAUCUGGACGGUAACUGACGCUGAG
rnacentral:rRNA from 1 species